GAUGAACGCUGGCGGCGUGCCUAAUACAUGCAAGUCGAGCGAACAGACGAGGAGCUUGCUCCUCUGACGUUAGCGGCGGACGGGUGAGUAACACGUGGAUAACCUACCUAUAAGACUGGGAUAACUUCGGGAAACCGGAGCUAAUACCGGAUAAUAUAUUGAACCGCAUGGUUCAAUAGUGAAAGACGGCUUUGCUGUCACUUAUAGAUGGAUCCGCGCCGCAUUAGCUAGUUGGUAAGGUAACGGCUUACCAAGGCAACGAUGCGUAGCCGACCUGAGAGGGUGAUCGGCCACACUGGAACUGAGACACGGUCCAGACUCCUACGGGAGGCAGCAGUAGGGAAUCUUCCGCAAAGGGCGAAAGCUUGACGGAGCAACGCCGCGUGAGUGAUGAAGGUCUUCGGAUCGUAAAACUCUGUUAUUAGGGAAGAACAAAUGUGUAAGUAACUAUGCACGUCUUGACGGUACCUAAUCAGAAAGCCACGGCUAACUACGUG
rnacentral:rRNA from 1 species